UGGAGAUGCUAACUGUGUAUCCGAGAUGAAUUAAUAGUUGAUGUUUAAUAGCAGGCGGACGGCGCUGUGCUGGUUAGAUAAGUAGGUCAUGGGGUUUGAUAUGAUAGGUGGUUUAUGGCUUUAGUUCACCCCAGUCUUUAGUUAUUUACCGCAAAACACCAGAGUACAGCUAGCGGCUCAGUGCUAGCUAACAGCCGAACUCAGCAAUAAGGAUUGGAGGGUGUUAGCCUGGAUGCUAACUGAAUUUAUUGAGCUUAAUUUAUCGGCUGGUGUUUGAUAUCAGCGUGGUGUCACUGUGCUGGUUGAUAUGGGAAGUUCUGCUGUUUGAACAGACAUCAUACACAUAUCAGACAAUUACUCUGGUCUUCAGGUUUGAAGGUGAGAAGAGAACACUGAAGAUUCUGCUUUGGAUAAGAAGGCCAGACCUCCCUCUGGGCUGUAGCUAAGGAGGUGUGCAGGAUUUGACGUGCCGAUGUCUACUGCUUGACAAACACAGCUUGAGGGG